rnacentral:misc_RNA from 1 species
UUUUUAGCAGCCAUAAACAUGUGCAGUUGUUUAUUAAUCCAACAAUAAAAUGUAGCACUAGUAAGGCCAACACAAGUACAACCAACAACAUAAGAAUUUAUGCAGCCCUGUUAAUAUUUUCUAAUGUCCUACCAAUGUUUCUAGUUCCACAUCCUUGCACCAUCCUGCUAACUUGAGGGCAAAACUUCCCAGGUCGUCUCUGGUUAGGUAACAUAAUUGCAUAAAAUUAAGUACAAAAUAUUGGUUAAGUUCACACCAAAGGCCUGACUAGGCAACUUUUUGGCAAUCAAGCUUGAGCUUUUCUCUUUCCCAUGCAUUUCCGCACUAGUGACAGUUUAGACCUUAUUGAUCCAUUGCUUUCCUCCUCACUGUCUUCACUAUCCAGCACUAUUAUUGAUUCAGCUACUUGUGUUUCUUCUCCCCAUUGUUUAAUCUCGCCAUCAAGUUUUCCAUUCUGAGGUUGAUCAGACUGCUGCUUCCGAUAUUUAUUUGCAGGAAGUUCCCCUGAGCGCAAGAACAAUCGGCUAUUAUCCUCAUUGCUACCCUGCAAUUGAGUCAGAGGACUCGGAUGCAGUUUCCGAUCAUUUCCGGCCUUCCUUUGUGUUUUGGGACUUGAUGAUAAUUUGUGCAUCAGCAAAACAUUCUCCUUGUCAUCCUUUUCCUGUCCCCCUGACGAACCCUUAAAGCCCAAGGAAAGCUUCUUGCGUACUGAACAUACUUUCUUACAUUUAGUAUCAGUGGAGCCAUUUCCCGAUUUUUCCAUAGAAACCUGACAAGUCUGUAGUGCAUCAUUAUUAACAGAAGAGCUAAUGGUCAAGGCCCCAGGUGAUGAAUUAGAAUGGGAGUGAGAAGGUGAUAUUGCAGGAGUCACAAGCAUUUUCUCAUUAGUACCAUCAUUUGUUUGGCAUGCAUCCAAAGAUCUCCAUGGUAUUUUCUGGCUAACCUUAUAAAGAUUACCUGAACUCAUGAUUUUGCUGUCAUAUGUUGAUAUGCAGUCACGGUGCUGAUGUAUUUGCAGUUCAUGAAGGCUUUCACCCUGCAGUAAUGUUGACUCUGAAGAAGCCAUAGAAAGAGUCUGUGCAUUACAGGGUAAAUGUGGCUGCUUUGGGUCUCCAUCCUUCACAUCAGGACCAUCUCUUUCACAACAUUGAACUGAGGAUUCAAGAGAUAACUUCCUCCCAAUCUUACUUUGCUUCUCAUCUUUCUGACUGUACUUGUCAGGUAGAUCUCUUAACUCUUUUCUGUCUCUUUUUGUUUCCAAAUUUCCCAAGCCAAAUUUUAGGGGAUUUGGCACGUCACUUGCCUCUCCAUCACUUACCCUUUUAUGAGUUGAGCUUGAAGGUUUGAGCAACAGCUUCUGAUUGAUCCCACUUGGUUUAUUAUGAUUAGGAAUAAAAUCAUUGACUUCAUAUUUUGACUCUUUCUCUGAUUGUUGAACUUCCACCAUUGUGCUUAGAUCUGCAUUAGUUUGAAUGCACCAGGUCCUGCAAUUGUGCCCGCUAGCUCCAGUCCCGGCAUAUUUUUCAGUCAUAGCUCGUGCUUUUUGGUCAAAAGCCUUUCUAUUGUAUUUGAACUCCUUGCUCGCUUCAGGCAUUAGACCGUCAUCAGGAUUGGGUUCACUCAAUAACAGUCCUAUACUUGUUAGCACGGUUGAAAUAUUCAAUGAUGGUUGCCAUGCACCCUGCUUUAAUAAGAGCCUGAACCUUGUUAUAAAUAACAUCUAUGAAAGAAACAGAAGUUUAAAAUUUGAAAUGGCACAAAGAUUUGGAUUCUGUGUAAUUCAUUCUGCAAUAGCAAGAGAAAAGCAGUAAAGUCUCCGAUGGUUCAACCAUUGAGCAGUUCUUACUGUUUAGGAAACAUGUAAGUUCAGCCUUCCGGACACCAUCUUCAAGAUUACAGAUUUAUCAACAGGAAAAGCUUAUUCUUUCACAAUGAGUUUGACAAGUUAAAAAGAAAUUAGCACAUACCGUUGUUGCAAGAAGGGAAACAAAGUAUGGCAAACAAAUGCCAAAUCCAAAAAAAAUUAAUAGAUAAACCACUGGAAUAUAACCUGACUUCAGAAAUUAACUACUUUGUGAUUUGCACAAACAAUGUAAGGCCACAGCAAUAUCUAAAUGAACAUAAAUGCUAGCAGUUUUAACCACCAAUGGCACAAUUAACUUUGUUGAAAGACGAAUGAUGGAAAAAUUAUAUGAACAAAAUUGAAAUAUGUACAUAAGAACCAUGAGAAAUUUAAGAAAUUGGGCUAUGUUCAAGUUCAAAUUCCUUUGCCUAAAAGUAAGUGUGCUCUAUUGGAACCAAAUCCCAGCUAAAACCAUCAAAUUUGUAUACACCAUUUCAAAGGUUUUCCCUCUUACUAAACUAGAAAGUAGAAUUAUUUAGUUUUAGUUUCCAAAACUUCCUUCAAAUUAAGCAAUCACAAAUUCCCAUGGUAUGAAUAUUCCAAUUAAGAUCAUCAAUUCAUAAAAAAUUUAAACUUGAACAAAAUAUGAUGUUUAACAACAGACUGA